rnacentral:miRNA from 1 species
UGUGUUAACUCAGGUCACCCCUG